CGUGAGGAGCGCAGCCCUUUGGACUC
rnacentral:piRNA from 1 species